GGUUAAGCGACUAAGCGUACACGGUGGAUGCCCUGGCAGUCAGAGGCGAUGAAGGACGUGCUAAUCUGCGAUAAGCGUCGGUAAGGUGAUAUGAACCGUUAUAACCGGCGAUUUCCGAAUGGGGAAACCCAGUGUGAUUCGUCACACUAUCAUUAACUGAAUCCAUAGGUUAAUGAGGCGAACCGGGGGAACUGAAACAUCUAAGUACCCCGAGGAAAAGAAAUCAACCGAGAUUCCCCCAGUAGCGGCGAGCGAACGGGGAGGAGCCCAGAGCCUGAAUCAGUGUGUGUGUUAGUGGAAGCGUCUGGAAAGGCGCGCGAUACAGGGUGACAGCCCCGUACACAAAAAUGCACAUACUGUGAGCUCGAUGAGUAGGGCGGGACACGUGGUAUCCUGUCUGAAUAUGGGGGGAC
rnacentral:rRNA from 1 species